GAUGAACGCUAGCGGCAGGCCUCAUACAUGCAAGUCGAGGGGCAGCAGGACACUUCGGUGUUGCUGGCGACCGGCGCACGGGUGCGUAACACGUAUGCAAUCUGCCUUGUACUGGAGCAUAGCCCUCGGAAACGAAGAUUAAUACUCCAUACAGUCUUACUAGCGCCUGCUAGUAAGAUGAAAGCUCCGGCGGUACAAGAUGAGCAUGCAUCCCAUUAGCUUGUUGGUGAGAUAACAGCUCACCAAGGCUACGAUGGGUAGGGUUCUGAGAGGAA
rnacentral:rRNA from 1 species